UGUAGAUCAGACUGGCCUCGAACUCACAGAUAUUCUCCAGUCUCCACCUCCUGUGGUCUGGUAGGGCCUCCUGCAGCUAAGUCAAAGGUGUUAAUUAGUUAAUAGCUGGGCUCCUUUCUGGAAGUUGUAUGGCAAUUCAUGCUCUGAGUUUAGUGGAACCAAGUGCCAUAUGACCUGCAGACUCAAUGUCUUCAUAGAAGACAACCUAGCCAGAGCCUUGCCAAGACUCCCACCCAAAAAGCCUGCUUCUGAGAAUGUGGUGGUUUGAAUAUGCUUGGCUCAGGGAGUGUUUGGCCUUGUUGGAGGAAGUAUGUCACUGUGGAGAUGGGCUUUGAAGCUCUGCCUAGUGUGGAAGAGUCAGUCUUCUCCUAACAGCCUUCAAAUGAAGAUGCAGAACUCUCAGCUCCUUCUGCACCAUGCCUGCCUGGAAACUGCCAUGCUCUCGCCUUGAUCAUAAUGGACUGAACCUCUGAACCGCCUGAAAACAUUCAUAUGAACCACACAGUCCAGAAGAAGAAAAACAACAUAAGAAGUUAUGGAUUCUUGGAAUCUAUAUGGAUUCUAUGGUAGUUUGAGUACCUAAAAUAUAGACAGAUUCUCUGACACAGGAUUAGACAUAUCUCCAGGAUGGUUCCGAUCUCCAACAGCUAUGCAGCAAUUCUACCAGACAUACUCUCCAGCAGCAGUCUGGACUUUUACGUCUGACUCCGAACAGCAUGUGCCUCUGUAGGGACCAUCACUCGGGACCAUUGCCAGCAGACAGCUUCGUAAAACUUCUCUUGCAGAACUCCCUCCGAGUCAGAUAGGCACCUCGUGGGAAAGCGUGUUGCUACACUUUCUAAUCACUUCUACAUUCUCAAGAUGUACAGUGCCCAAAAUCAACAGGACCAGCUCCAAAUGGAAACAGAUUGCUUGGCCUGAGACUGAAUGUUUAGCAGGAGACAGGCAGCCCUGCUGUGCUUUCAGAGGGGUCUGGGAGGGGAGAAGGGGCCCCUCGUGGGAAAGUUGUAGAAUAAGAAGGGGAUCUGCUACUGCUACGGCUUACUCUCUCUGCCUUCCAGAAAUUCAAAGUCGGACUCAGAUAUUAAAGUCU
rnacentral:lncRNA from 1 species